rnacentral:rRNA from 1 species
UACGUAGGGUGCAAGCGUUAUCCGGAAUUACUGGGCGUAAAGCGCGUGUAGGUGGUUUUAUAAGUCACUGUUGAAAGCUCCCGGCUAAACUGGGAGAGGUGCGGUGAGACUGUAGAGCUAGAGUUUGGGAGAGGGGUGCGGAAUUCCGGGUGUAGUGGUGAAAUGCGUAGAGAUCCGGAGGAACACCAGAGGCGAAGGCGGCACCCUGGCCUAAUACUGACACUGAGACGCGAAAGCAUGGGGAGCGAACGGG